rnacentral:rRNA from 1 species
AGAGUUUGAUCCUGGCUCAGGAUGAACGCUAGCUACAGGCUUAACACAUGCAAGUCGAGGGGCAGCGGUAUCGAAAGCUUGCUUUCGGUAGCCGGCGACCGGCGCACGGGUGAGUAACGCGUAUCGAACCUGCCUCAUACUCGGGAAUAGCCUUGCGAAAGUAAGAUUAAUGCCCGGUGUUUUCAGAGUCCCGCAUGAGGCUUUGAACAAAGAUUUAUCGGUAUGAGAUGGCGAUGCGUCCCAUUAGCUUGUUGGCGGGGUAACGGCCCACCAAGGCAUCGAUGGGUAGGGGUUCUGAGAGGAAGGUCCCCCACAUUGGAACUGAGACACGGUCCAAACUCCUACGGGAGGCAGCAGUGAGGAAUAUUGGUCAAUGGGCGGAAGCCUGAACCAGCCAAGUAGCGUGCAGGAAGACGGCCCUCCGGGUUGUAAACUGCUUUUAGUUGGGAAUAAAACGGGGCUCGUGAGCCCCCUUGCAUGUACCAUCAGAAAAAGGACCGGCUAAUUCCGUGCCAGCAGCCGCGGUAAUACGGAAGGUCCGGGCGUUAUCCGGAUUUAUUGGGUUUAAAGGGAGCGCAGGCGGACCUUUAAGUCAGCUGUGAAAUACGGCGGCUCAACCGUCGAACUGCAGUUGAUACUGGAGGUCUUGAGUGCACACAGGGAUGCUGGAAUUCAUGGUGUAGCGGUGAAAUGCUCAGAUAUCAUGAAGAACUCCGAUCGCGAAGGCAGGCAUCCGGGGUGCAACUGACGCUGAGGCUCGAAAGUGCGGGUAUCAAACAGGAUUAGAUACCCUGGUAGUCCGCACAGUAAACGAUGAAUACUCGCGGUUUGCGAUACAGUGUAAGCCGCCAAGCGAAAGCGUUAAGUAUUCCACCUGGGGAGUACGCCGGCAACGGUGAAACUCAAAGGAAUUGACGG